rnacentral:rRNA from 1 species
CGCACGGGUGAGUAACACGUAUCCAACCUGCCGUCUACUCUUGGACAGCCUUCUGAAAGGAAGAUUAAUACAAGAUGGCAUCAUGAGUCCGCAUGUUCACAUGAUUAAAGGUAUUCCGGUAGACGAUGGGGAUGCGUUCCAUUAGAUAGUAGGCGGGGUAACGGCCCACCAAACCGACGAUGGAUAGGGGUUCUGAGAGGAAGGUCCCCCACAUUGGUACUGAGACACGGACCAA